GCUGACUAUUGACUUCAAAAGGAGGAAAACAGAGGUCCAUAAGCCAGUCCUCAUCAGGGCAUUACAGGUGGAGGGAGUCAAUAAAUUCCUCAGUAUUAUCAUUCCUGCACAUAAGUGCCCUUAUGAAGAAAGCACGGCAGUGCCUCAACUUUAUUAGAAGUUUGUGAAGACAUCUAAAACACUGACAAACUUCUGUAGAUGUGUGGUGGAGAGUAUAUGAAGAAAGAAAAUGAAUCUCAGGGUUGUAUGUGGUGAGAUAGUUAGGUCAUGGAACAUCUGCCAGAAAUUGACAAUGGCUUCAUCUGUCUUUGUGUAUCCUUUACCAUAUCUCGUAUUCUGUCAGAGGGUGCAGAAAAAGACAUGAGGACACACACAACUUGGGAACUCUCUCUUGCCGUUUGAUGUGUGCUGUCUGCUGGGAUUUUAUCAAGAUAUUGAUUAACUCAACAUAUUUGUGGAUUUACUGUGUGCAUCCAAAUUGUUUCUAACACCAGAAAUGUGUAGGUACACAUAACGAUGUCUCAUGGAUUCCACGCAUGCUUUGACCUUGUGAUCAAGAUUAGCCUUCCGUGAAACAACACAAAUGUGCAAAAAUUUGGCUUCCAUAGAGAUGACGAGGCUGUUUGUUGAGACGAUGGCCCAACCGAUCCUUCGCCACAGUUUUUUAAAUUCUAUUUGAGUGUGGAAUGUGUUGACAGUGGAGGCAGAUAUGCGUUAAAUUUUUCGAGAACAUACCGGAUGUACCCAAACCAAAAGCCAUGGAUGAACCAGGAGAUUCAUGGUUUUCUGAGGGCUAGAUAUGGAGCAUUCAACACUGAUGAUUCAAAACUAUACAAGAAGCCCAAGUAAAACCUACAGAAGGCUAUUUUAAGGGCAAAACAAAACAAUUCCAAUUGAGGUCAGAAACAAAAUCAGGUGCAUGUCACCUCUGACAGAGGGUGCAGGCCAUUACUUCCCUCAAGGCAAAACCUAACAUUAUGAUUGGCUGUGAUGCUUCACUCCCAGAUGAGUUCAACGUCUUUCAUGUAUACCUUGGACGAGAGAAUAAAACUACACCUGUGUGAAUCCCUGCCGCAUCUGGGGACACUGUGCUCUCUGUCAAUAUCAUAACAUCUUUCAAGAGGGUGAACCAUCAAAAGGCAUCAGGUCCUGACGGUGUAUCUGGAAGGGCUCUGAAAAUCUGUGCCAACCAACUGGCGGGAGUGUUCAAUCUCUCAUUGCUGCAGGUGGUGGUUCCACCUGCUUCAAAAGGGUGACAAUCAUACCAGUGCCCAAGAAGAGCAGGGUGAGCUGCCUCAAUGACUAUUGCCCAGUGACAUUCACACAUACUGUGAUGAAGUGCUCUGAGAGGUUGGUCAUUGCUACAAUUAACUCCUGCCUAUGCAAGGACCUGGACCCGCUGCAAUUUACCUACUGCUACUCUAGGCAUACAGCAAGUGCAACCUCAUUGGCUCUCCUCUCGGCCUUGGAUCCCCUGGACAACAGUAAUACCUAGGCAUACACGAGGAGAUCUGCAGGUGCUGGAAAUUCAAACAACACAAACAAAAUGCCGGUGGAAUGCAGCAGGCCAGGCAUCAUCUAUAGGGAGAAGCACUGUCGACGUUUCAGGCCGAGACCCUUCGUCAGGACUAACUGAAAGGAAAGAUAGUAAGAGAUUUGAAAGUAGGAGGAGGAGGGGAAAUGCGAAAUGAUAGGAGAAGACUGGAGGGGGUGGGGUGAAGCUGAGAGCCAGAAAGGUGAUAGGCAAAAGGGAUACAGAGCUGGAGAAGGGAAACGAUCAUGGAACAGAAGGCCUAGGGAGAAAGAAAGGGGGAGGGGAGCACCAGAGGGAGAUGGAAAACAGGCAGAG